rnacentral:ribozyme from 1 species
AUAAAAGAGACAGACGAGUUUUUCUUUCUUUCUUUCUUUCUUUCUUUUCUUCCUCUUUCAUGCAUGUGGGUGUGAAGAGAAGGAAAGUAUACGUGGAAGGGAAGGACAAGGAAAGAA